rnacentral:rRNA from 1 species
GAUGAACGCUGGCGGCGUGCCUAAUACAUGCAAGUCGAGCGAAGCGGGGACGGGUGAGUAACACGUGGAUAACCUCCUAUAAGACUGGGCUAACUUCGGGAAACCGUAGCUAAACCGGCUACUUAUAGAUGGAUCCGCGCUGCAUUAGCUAGUUGGUAAGGUAACGGCUUACCAAGGCAACGAUGCAUAGCCGACCGGAGAGGGGGGUCGGCCACACUGGAACUGAGAAACGGUCCGGACGCCUACGGGAGGCAGCAGUAGGGAAUUUGGCACAAUGGGCGAAAUCCUGACGGAGCAACGGCGCGUGAUUGAGGAAGGUCUUCGGAUCGUAAAACUCUUUGAUUAGGGAAGCGGUACCUAAUCAGAAAGCCACGGCUAACUACGUGCCAGCAGCCGCGGUAAUAC